rnacentral:rRNA from 1 species
AGCGAACGCUGGCGGCAGGCCUAACACAUGCAAGUCGAACGAACCUUUCGGGGUUAGUGGCGGACGGGUGAGUAACACGUGGGAACGUGCCUUUAGGUUCGGAAUAACUCAGGGAAACUUGUGCUAAUACCGCAUGUGCCCUUCGGGGGAAAGAUUAAUCGCCUUUAGAGCGGCCCGCGUCUGAUUAGCUAGUUGGUUGAGGUAAUGGCACACCAAGGCUACGAUCAGUAGCUGGUCGGAGAGGAUGAUCAGCCACAUUGGAACUGAGACACGGCCCACAAUGGGACGGAAGGGAGGAGUGGGGAAUCUUGCGGAAGGGGGGAAAGCGUGACGAAGCCAUGCCGCGUGAAUGAUGAAGGUCUUAGGAUUGUAAAAUUCUUUCACCGGAGACGAUAAUGACGGUACCCGGAGAAGAAGCCCCGGCUAACUUCGUG